GCGGAAAUAGCUCAGUUGGUAGAGCAUAACCUUGCCAAGGUUAGGGUCGCGAGUUCGAGUCUCGUUUUCCGCUCGA
rnacentral:tRNA from 1 species